UACGAAGGGGGCUAGCGUUGCUCGGAAUUACUGGGCGUAAAGGGCGCGUAGGCGGCACUGUUAGUCAGGCGUGAAAUUCCUGGGCUCAACCUGGGGACUGCGCUUGAUACGGCAGAGCUUGAGGAUGGAAGAGGGUCGCGGAAUUCCCAGUGUAGAGGUGAAAUUCGUAGAUAUUGGGAAGAACACCGGUGGCGAAGGCGGCCUGCUGGGCAGUUGCUGACACUGAGGCGCGACAGCGUGGGGAGCAAACAGG
rnacentral:rRNA from 1 species